CCUACGGGCGGCAGCAGUGGGGAAUAUUGCACAAUGGGGGAAACCCUGAUGCAGCGACGCCGCGUGAGUGAAGAAGUAUUUCGGUAUGUAAAGCUCUAUCAGCAGGGAAGAUAAUGACGGUACCUGAGUAAGAAGCCCCGGCUAACUACGUGCCAGCAAGCGGGGUAAUACGUAGGGGGCAGCGGUUAUCCGGAUUAACUGGGGGUAAGGGGAGCUUAGAGGGCAUGGCAAGUCUGAAGUGAAAGCCCGGGGGUUAACCGCGGGACAGCUUUGGAAACUGGUAGGCUGGAGUGCAGGAGAGGUAAGUGGAAUUCCCGGUGUAGCGGUGAAAUGCGUAGAUAUUAGGAGGAACACCAGUGGCGAAGGCGGCUUACUGGACUGUAACUGACGUUGAGGCUCGAAAGCGUGGGGAGCGAACAGGAUUAGAUACCCCAGUAGUC
rnacentral:rRNA from 1 species